CAACACGUUGUUGUGUUGACUUAUGCGGUCCCCGCCGCGUAUCGGCUAGAACCCGACACUAUAGGAGAAAAACAAUG
rnacentral:ncRNA from 1 species